AUACGGAGGAUGCAAGCGUUAUCCGGAUUUAUUGGGUUUAAAGGGUGCGUAGGCGGUUUGCUAAGCGGGAGGUGAAAUGCCGGCGCUCAACGUCGGAAGUGCCUCCCGAACUGGUGGACUUGAAUGACUCUGCCGUAGGCGGAAUGUGGUUUGGAGCGGUGAAAUGCAUAGAUAUACCACAGAACACCGAUUGCGAAGGCAGCUUACUAAACUGUAACUGACGCUGAGGCACGAAAGCGUGGGUAUCAAACAGGAUUAGAUACCCUGGUAGUCCACGCUGUAAACGAUGAUUACUGGUUGUUUGCGAUACAUUGCAAGUGACUGAGCGAAAGCAUUAAGUAAUCCACCUGGGGAGUACGUCGGCAACGAUGAAACUCAAAUGAAUUGACGGGG
rnacentral:rRNA from 1 species